rnacentral:rRNA from 1 species
UACGUAGGGUGCGAGCGUUGUCCGGAAUUACUGGGCGUAAAGAGCUCGUAGGUGGUUUGUCGCGUUGUUCGUGAAAACUCACAGCUUAACUGUGGGCGUGCGAGCGAUACGGGCAGACUGGAGUACUGCAGGGGAGACUGGAAUUCCUGGUGUAGCGGUGGAAUGCGCAGAUAUCAGGAGGAACACCGGUGGCGAAGGCGGGUCUCUGGGCAGUAACUGACGCUGAGGAGCGAAAGCGUGGGGAGCGAACAGG